rnacentral:lncRNA from 1 species
CCUGACUUUCCAGGCCCUCAUUCUGACCUUAUGAGGCUGCGUCCCUCCACAUGAAGGAAGGUGGUUUCUGGGAGCUGAAGCCUGGAACUUCCUUUGCAUCAUAGAGCCACUCUGCACAAAUGAAGGCAUAAAUUCAAGGGGCCCCUUUGGUGUUUGUUGAUGCCGAUGGUAUGUCACUUGCAGGUAGAAGUAUUUUGGAGUUAAUUCAUUGAAUACUUUGAUUAAACAAUUUUAAUUUUUUUGACCAAAAUGCGACAAAAAUUGGAAUACUUGUUUCUAAAUAAGAAUUAAUAGUAAU